rnacentral:tRNA from 1 species
GUUUCUGUAGCCCAGCAGUUGACUACUAAUCUAAUGGUUGGUGGUUUGAAUCCAUCCAGAGGCA